rnacentral:rRNA from 1 species
UACGGGGGGGGCAAGCGUUGUUCGGAAUUACUGGGCGUAAAGGGCUCGUAGGCGGCCAACUAAGUCCGACGUGAAAUCCCCAGGCUUAACCUGGGAACUGCGUCCGAUACUGAUUGGCUUGAAUCCGGAAGAGGGAUGCGGAAUUCCAGGUGUAGCGGUGAAAUGCGUAGAUAUCUGGAGGAACACCGGUGGCGAAGGCGGCAUCCUGGGUCGGUAUUGACGCUGAGGAGCGAAAGCCAGGGGAGCAAACGGG